rnacentral:rRNA from 1 species
AAUAGAUACCCGGUAGUCCACGCCGUAAACGAUGAGUGCUAAGUGUUGGGGGGUUUCCGCCCCUCAGUGCUGCAGCUAACGCAUUAAGCACUCCGCCUGGGGAGUACGGUCGCAAGACUGAAACUCAAAGGAAUUGACGGGGGCCCGCACAAGCGGUGGAGCAUGUGGUUUAAUUCGAAGCAACGCGAAGAACCUUACCAGGUCUUGACAUCCCGGUGACCACUAUGGAGACAUAGUUUCCCCUUCGAGGGCAACGGUGACAGGUGGUGCAUGGUUGUCGUCAGCUCGUGUCGUGAGAUGUUGGGUUAAGUCCCGCAACGAGCGCAACCCUUAUUCUUAGUUGCCAUCAUUCAGUUGGGCACUCUAAGGAGACUGCCGGUGAUAAACCGGAGGAAGGUGGGGAUGACGUCAAAUCAUCAUGCCCCUUAUGACCUGGGCUACACACGUGCUACAAUGGACGGUACAAACGGUUGCCAACCCGCGAGGGGGAGCUAAUCCGAUAAAACCGUUCUCAGUUCGGAUUGUAGGCUGCAACUCGCCUAC